CAGUGGAAAAGAAAAGAGCUCAGAUGCUGGGUACCUGAAAGAAGACCCGGGCUCAGCUUUCUCUUGGAUUUAUUCUAAAGUCACGUGUGGUAAGAUUGGGGGAAAAAUAGAAUACUCCUCUCUGCUCAAUUUUAGAAAUUUAAGAGCAGAAGGAAUGUCACUAUUCCUGUGUACUUUGAGAAGGUGGCAAGACCCCAGAGUUCUCCCUCACUCCCGCAUGCCGAUGGCACAGAGCAAUAGGGUAGAGAUGGUGGUGUGGUAGGUUAAUGUUAAAGGGGAGACUGAGGUAGCCUUGUAGAGUCCCUGUGGGCAUGUAGAGCAGCAGAAGCAUUUCCCAUGAGCCAAAGGCUACUAUAGGGAUGAGAUAGGGCCUGUUGGUGCCACAUUCCUUUUCUCACUCUCCCAGAAGUCACAGAAACUAGUGUCCAACACAAGGAGUACACAGCUGUAAACUUUGUGGACUGCCAAUCAGGACCAGGAUGUGUGCCUCAUCAAAUAGUAGCACAGAGAGGAUGACAACUAACAACAGGAGAUGGUCCCCUGGAUCAUAAACACAAUCCCAGCAUAAGGGGAGGGGAGACCGCAUUGAUGGAGAUUGAUUUCCAACAUCUAGUGGAAUGGGGGUUUGCAACAGAGACUAAAAGUUGGCAUUUCUUGCAUACUUGAGUUUAUGAUCUUAAACUUGGACCCACUAUAUUAUUAACAGUGAUAGGUUUGUGAAAGAAGUCUCAUUUUGUAAUAUCAUUAGUAACAAGUAACAUCUUCAGAUUCAAUAUGAUCUACCAAAAGCAUUAUGACAUACUAAUGUCAACUGGUGUAGAAACUCAGAUCUGAAUCUCAGUCAUCAGGUAGAGAUUUUGCUCAGGUGCUAAACAUAUCUUCUCUUUUUAAAAAAAGCAAAAUAGAACAAAACAGUACUAGCUAACAUUACUAAGUAUAUGUCCUGUACUUUGUCCUAAGCCCUAUGGAUGGCAUAUUUAAUCCUUUCAAUAGUCCUAUGAGGUAAAUACACUCAUUAUGCAUGUAUUUUAUGCAUGCAAAAGCUAAAUGUAUUGCCAAAUGUUGCAAAUCUUGAACUUUAUGUGAUUUGAGAACGCUUUGCAUAAUCAUUUUGCUGUUCUGUCUAGAAUGAAGUACUGAAAUACUACAUCUUUAAAGUUACAUCCAAUCAUCAAAAUCCAUGUUUUUCUAAUCUUCAGAGUUUUCCUGUUGGAGAAUUUAAGGCAAAUUCAAGGAGGCUCUUAGUCAAGACACAUUCUACAGUCUCUGUCUCUGGUUUCCAGAGAAGCAAGAUGACCAUGACCUUCUCCAUAGAUGUACCGAUCAUUGAACCAAGCCUUCCCCUUUACACGUCACCUAUCGACACGAGUAGACAUCUUUUCUUCCCAUUUGGCUCUGAAACUUCAGGUCUCUAUUUUGAUUUUUAGUUUUUACACUUAAGCUACUGUAUUUUAGUUUGUUUCUCUGACCUGCCUCUCCCAAGGCUAUUUAUCUUCCCUAGAUCGAUGACUUCAUUCCGAAACCCAGUAUUUUGAAAAGAGAGGGGAAAAAAGGAGGCCCUGUUUUUAACAAAAUACUCUUAAAAAGGGAAACUUGGGUUUUUUGUGUGUGUUUUUGUGUGUGGUGUUUUGUUUUGUUUUGUUUUGUUUUGCCAGUGCUGUGUUAUAAAGCUUCCCUGCUGCUAAUCCAUGAAAACUAGCCUAAAUAAGAGAGGAGACACAGCUUUUUGUGACCUCUUCUGGGAUUAUAGUACUUCAGUCAUAUCUGCUUGGAAUAUAAUUGCCAUCUGGUUAUUUUUCUCCAUAAUAUAUAGUUACAUGUGAUUUUUUUCACACCUCUCAUUUAGGAAUAUAUUGUUUUGAAGAAAAGUUUGAAAGUUAAACACAAACCUUUACUGAGAGUAUUUGAUUAUCUAUCUUAUAAAAAUAUGACUGAAUAAAGUUACACCUGAAGUUCUAUUUUUAUCCUUAAAUUAAAGUUUAAAGAAAGGAAAGGGAUUAGCAGUUAUUAUUAGAUUUUUAUGUUAAAAAUUAUGAACUUUCAAUAUAUAAAUUUCAGGUUUUUCCCAAUAGGCUUUAUUACUUCUUCUGAUUGUCUUUUCAUUUUCAUGUGCUGUCCAUCAACCAACUGUUUCCUAUCCUUUUGGGAUUUUCCUCAAUUUCUGUUUGCAUUACAAUGUCGUAUUUCUUUUAUUUUAAAUGACUUUAAUUUCAUUUUUAAUAUAUAGUGAGAACACACUGUAAUAAGUUCAUUUCACUACUUUUCAGUUUCAAAAUAACUUUGUCUUUUGAAAUUUCUGCCUCCUAAAUUAAGUCAAGCAUUUCAGAGACUUCAUAGAAAGAAACAUUCUCUUUUCUCUUUAAAAGAAUUCCAUGUGUCUAAGCACUUUUAUAAAGUAGAGGUGUUUAGUAACAUAGAAUCUCCAGUGUAAUAAAUAUUUCUCCAUUGGGAUAUUUCUAUUGGCAAAAUUAUGUAAAGCAAUUUAUAGCUUCAUGCUCUUAUAAGAAAGAUUGUUUUCUUUCUCUUCUUUCUUCACAAUAAAAAGAGCUUUAUUAGAUUUUUUCUGAUUAUGAAAGCACAUGCUUAUUUACAAUAACUAUACUAUAAAAAUAAUUCAGCAGUUACAUGCAGUAGACUUGUACACCUAGCAACAUAGAUCUGAAACACAUAGUACUAGGUGGAAAAUGUAAGAAACAGGAUGAGAAACCAUCUAAGUAAAUUUAAAAUAUCUGUACAAAAAAAAUUUUUUUAGGACUAUACAAACAAAAUAAAAGAUUUAUAUUAAAUGCAUUAGGAUAGUUGUUAGUGGGGGUGGUUUGGGUGAUCUAAGUAGGAAAUGGGGUUCAAAGAUAGUAAAAGAAGAAAUUUCAGAUAAUUUAAAAGUACGAGGAAUUUAAAAUCACCCUCAAUUCCACUCCUUGAUAAUAUCACAGCACAUAGUUUGGAAUAUAGCCAUCCAGAUAACACACACAUACACAUGCAUACACAUACACAUGCAUGCACACACACAUUUUAAAGUGGGAUUAUAAUCUGUUUUUAAUCUUAUUUUCAUUAAACAGUAUAAUAUAAAUCUGUUGUUAUAAAUCAUUUUUAAUGUAGUACGUGCAUGGAUCUGUAUAACCUAUUCAAUGACUACCCCAUGGAUGUAUAUUUAGGUUUUUUCCAGUUCUUUUUAAUGACUAAUGUUACAAUUAACAUUCUUAUACAUAUAUCUUUAUCUACUUGCCUUUCACUAGAAAUGCCCAUUUAAAUUAUUGAAACAGGGGCACCUGAGUGGCUCAGUCGGCUAGUCGUCCGACUUAGCUCAGGUCAUGAUCUUGCAGUUCAUGAGUUCAAGACCCACAUCGGGCUCUGUGCUGACGGCUCGAAACCUGGAACCUGCUUCAGAUUCUGCGUCUCCCUCUCUCUCUGUUCCUCUCCCUCUCAUCCUCUGUCUCUCUUUCAAAAAUAAACAUUAAGAAAAAUUUUAAUUAUUGAAACAAGUUGUCAAACUGCCUUCCAGAAAUACCAUUUUCACAUUCAUAAUAUGAAACUUUCUGAUUCUCACAAGGUGUUAAAGCUUAAAACACUUGUAAAACAAACAGCAACAAAAUUAUCUCCAUAUUCCAGGCCAUCCAAAUGUCCAGAUCUCCUCAAUAGACUUAAUUUGCUCACUUAGUACCUUCUGUUCAGUGGGAGGUCAAAGACUACAAACCAUGUUAAUGUCAUUACACAGCUGACUAUUUAGCACUGCCUUGGUCUGACCUAUACAUCAGGGACUGAGUGAACUACCAGAGAAAAGCAGAAAGGAUGCAGAUUCACUUAAGUAGCACAUCAACUUUUUUGCACUUGUACAUGCAUCGGAAUCUUGAAUGUCAAAAAAAUUAAAGUCUUUAAUUACUAAUAGUGGGAUCUAUAUUCUAAGUGGUUGUGAGUUGUCUGUUUUUCAACUUCAUUCCUAAAGUGGCUUUUAUUUUGUUUUGAAGGUUCUGACCUCAUUGGCAACAGUCAAAUUCAUUUUCAAACAUAGCCUCCCAAUCAGACAACAAUUCCAGCCUGGUGGGGUGGACAGAGCUGGGCUGUAGAGCUAGGCUGACCCUGGGCUGUGUGCAAAGUCAUGUGGCCGCAGGACCUUAGGCUAGUUACUAAACUUGUCUAUUUCCUCAUGGUAUUACACAGAGGUAAGAACCUCCAUUGGGUUGUAUCUCCAGUAUCUAGAACAAAUAUAUCAACAAAUAUUUGUUCGUUCAUUCAAGGUAACAAUUAGCAAUAAUGAAUGUGAAACAUCUGGAAUCUAGAAAAUACUAAGUGGUAGCUAUUGUCAUAUUAAGAUAAAGUAAAGGGAUGUUGUUGAAGGAGAGAAGCUGAAAGCAAAGAAUUUCAGAUAGUCUGGAUUGCUGGUGAGAACCCAAGAUCAGGUUCUAGGACCACUGUGAGUUUGGAAAUGUGGAAAUUAAUAUUGACAGCUUGGAAGAAGAAAAGGAGUUGCUCUGAAUUAGGCUCAGCAUUCAGGGUUACCAACAGCCCGUCAAAAUGGAAAAUAUCUACGUGGCUUUUAACCAGGUGUGAAUGUGAAUAAUCAACUCAUCAAGGUAAAGUCUUUAAGCUUUUUCUACCCGGUAUCAUUGCUAUACCUAAAGCCAUAUUGCAGGAAGAAUUGCUAAAUGCAUGUUUUCUUAAUGCCGCUAUGUGGCAGGAAUUUAAAGUUAUAAUCUCUUUUCAAGGCACAUCUUUAUUAACGGGGAAUCAUUCAAAGCCAUCUGAGUGCAAUUACUAUAUAAAGGCUAAUUGACCUAAUUAAUCUAAUGUGGGUCAAUGGCUCUAUACUACCCAAAGAACAUUUUCAAAUGAAAAGGGGGAAAAAAGCAACUCCAAAAGGGAUUUCUUUAAGUGAACAUCCUUAAAUUUAGUGAGUCUGAUUUAUUCCUUGCACACAGAUAUUAUAUUGCUACAUAUUAUAUUGCUGGAGUGGCUGAGCUGGGAUAAAAAGAGAUAGACUAAUUCUCUGAGGAUCCUGAGGAAUAUUCUGUUUGUCACUCAGGGGAAGGCACUAUAUAAAUUACAUUAUACCAAUACUGCCUCUUUCUGAUAAGGUAGCACUGAAAGAAGAAUUCAACAUGACAAGAAGUCAAAUUUACUAUCAUACUGUUUUGAUUCUCUUGGUGAUGUGAUAAAGUGCAUGCUGAUACCUGCUUUUUAUUUGAUUAACUUACAGCUCCUUUGAAUGUCAGCUUGUUCCAUUUGAAGUACUGGCUGCCAAAUAUAAACUGGGACUGAUAAUAUCUGAGCCCUAUGAUUGAGGAAAGAAUGUAUAACACACACCUGUGGUAGGCAAAAUAAAGCCUCCCAACAUGUUCACGUUUUAAUUCCCCAAAUUUGUAACUAUGUCACAUUACAUGGCAAAAGGGACUUUGCAUAUGUGAAGUUAGGGAUCUUGAGAUGGAGAGAAUAUCCUGAAUCAUCCAGGUGGGUCCAAUGUACUCACAAGAGUUCCUAUAAUGGAAAGAAGGAAGCUGGAGAGUCAGAGAAAGAGAUCUAAGGAUGGAAGCAAAGGCCAGAGAGAAAGAGAGAGAGAACGAGAAAGGGAGAUAGGUUUGAAGAUGCUGUGCCUCUAGCUUCGGUGAUGGAGAAAAAGGCUGUAAGUCAGGGAAGGCAGGCAGCUUCUGGAAAAGUCAAGGGAAUGGAUUCUCCCCUAGAGCCUCCAGAAGAAAUGAAGCCCUGGACUUUAAAAUCAAGCAACCUUGAUUUUAGCCCAGUGACAUUAAUUUUUGGACUUCUGACCUCUAGAAUUGUGAGUAAUAAAUUUGUAUUGUUUUAAGCCACAGAGUUGGUGGUAAUUUGUUAUAGCAGCAAGAGAAACUACGUGCCACUUUUGGGGCUCAUGGCAUAGAGCUACACUAGUGUCAUUUUAGUUGGAUUGAAAUGACUUUCCCAAACUGGACCUAUAAUCCAAGACAAAGCUAGGGCAAACCAGGGAAGCACACAGCAGAAGCUCUUGCUUGGCCUUUUAUUCAUCACAAGCUCACUUUGUUCCCAUUUAUUCUGAGGCCUUUUAGAGAAAUGGAGUAUUAGUGAAGGUUCCUAAGUGUGGGAAGAAAUCAGUCCUCUUAUGAGUUAAUUCCCCUUUCCUCAGGUUUUAAACUCCAAAGACAUUUUCUAAAAUGAUUUUCAACUAUAAACAAUGUCUUGUAAUCAACCUGGCCUCUGCCCUGGCCAAAACCUUUAGAAAGUGGUUAAGCAUCUUCCCUGGGAGUCACUGGCCCUGGACAUGGCCUUGAGCUAAUAAGGUAGAAAGGGUAGGAGUUUUGGGCAGCUGAUCAAAAUCUUACAUGGGGUCAAGGAGUUUUAAAAGAUAAAUGGGGCACAUGGGUGGCUCAGUCGGUUAAAUGUCCAUCUCGAAUUAGCUCAGGUCUUGAUCUCAGGGUUGUGAGGUUCAAGCCCCAUGUUGGGCUCCACUCUGGAUGUGGAGCCUACUUUUAAAAAAUGAUAAUAUAUACAGCCACUGUGCUAAGGAGCACUUACAUCCAUUAAGUAACAUGUGCACUAUCCUAUUAUCCCAUGCUUAUUAUCCCAACUUUCAACUGAGGAAAGUAAAGCUGAAGAAAUGGCACCGUGCCCACUGUCACCUAUAGCAGGCUUACUCCAGGGCUGGGCUGUUAACCACUACUCCAUGUCCCCUCUCCACAUCAGAACUUCCCUGGAAAAUUCUUGGAACUCUUGGAAAGUGUUCUAUAGACAGAAUCAUGGCAGAUUUGUUGUUUUCUUGAUGUUCUGAGUGUGCCACCCCAGCAAAUUCUUGAGAACGCAGGCAGAGUUUGCAAGAGGAAAUGUAUAUAUCACUACAACACCAAGCAAAGUCCUCUUGUCAAAUGCAGUCAAAGAAUGGGUAGGUUGUGCAGUGCAAGCUUGGCUUUCUCUGAGGCACACUAGUUCUUAUGGGCCUGAUGGAAAGGCCUGUUAACUGAUGGCAUGAUCAUGACUCCAUUAGAAGAAAGACAAACAAUGAAAAUGAAUAAGUGCACAGUUUGAUUCUGACCAUUGCAAUGGACCCAAUGAGGAAGAAAAGCUGGAGGAAUCCAGUGAGACCAUUUAGGUUGGAUAGCAAGCUUUCUGAUGAACAUGGGUGAAAGUGAACAGGAUGACACAUACCCAAGGUCCUGGAAUAACUCAAGUCUUAGAAGAAGGUUAAUGGUCAGAAACAGGUAAAAAUGCUAAAGAAAAUAAAAAAUUUAGAGCAGGAGGAAUUCUGGGAAGGGAAAAGCCCCAGCUUCAAAAUAAUGACGCUAAGUUAGUAUAUAAUAACAAUGAGGAAAAGAACUUCUCCACUCCUAUUUUACCAUCUUUUUUUUUUUCUUGGUAAGAAGAUUGGAAGAUUGACUGGAAAGUGUGGACAAGUGUUAGCAAAAGGAAGUGGCACCCCAACUUGUCCAAGAAUCCACAUCUGAACCAUUGCAUCCCAAGGGAAGGGAUAUAUACUGGAAACCAGAGGAAUUUUUAUAGACCAAGAUUAUUGGUAUUACAGCCUGACCAAGAAUCUUGUGAUACCCUUAUGAAAGAACUGCACUGGUUGUUACAGAGAGCAACUUUACCAGCCCAUCACUGAGGACAAGAGUAUAAAGGUAAUCCUUCAAACAAAAGAAACAUGGUACCAGAUAGAAAUUUGGAUCUGUACAAAGGAAUUAAGGGCAACAACUAUGUGAGUAAACAUAAAACAUUUUUCUUAAUUUUAAAAUCUCUUUAAAAGAUAGUCAACUAUUUAAGUAGUGAAAAUGACUAAUAUUUGUAGAGGUAAAAUCGAUGACAAAAGUGGUAUAAAGGAUGGGAAGAAUAAAAGGAAAAUUUGCUUUUGUAAGAAUCUUGAGCCACAUGUAAAUGGUAUGGUAGUUGAAGGCAGACAGUAUUUAGUUGAAAAUGAAUAUGUAUUAUAAACUGUACAUAAGUUGAAAGUGUGAUAUUGUGUAAGUUGAAAAUGGAUAUUGUAAAUUGUAUAGUUAUCACACAUAGACACACGAACUCAAAGAGGUGUAGCUAACUAAGUCAAUGGUGCAAAUGGAGAUAAAAUUAUUAAAAAUGCUUGAUUAGUUCUAAUGAAGACAGAAAAGAAGACAACAGGAAGAUAGAAGGAAUGGGGUGAUGAAAAUUUUCUAUCUCAUGACUGUAGUCAUUACAUGACUAUAUAUGUUUGUGAGAAGUUACAAAUCACACUACCUGGUGAGUUUUGUUAUAUAUAAACUAUACAUCAAUAAAUCUGAUAGAAGAGGGAGGCAGAGGAGGAGAAGGAGGCAGAGGAGGAGGACUACCACCACCAAGUAGGAGAGUUACACUACCUGAGGGCAAGACACACUAUAAAGCUAUGGUAACCAAGAUGGUGUAUUGAGGUACUUGGGUUGCUCAGUUAGCUAAGUGUCUGACUUCAGCUCAGGUCAUGAUCUUAUGGCUCUGAAUUCAAGUCUCCCAACGGACUCUGCACAUGUGCAAAAGACAGGGUGGUAUUGGUGAAAAGGUAGGCCUAGAGAUUGUCUGGCUAUAAGGAACUCAUCCCCACUAGGCCUACGCAGCGUGGUGGUACAUGCUAUGGACCAUGGAUUAAUAUAUGUUCACGACUUCUGUUUUUUAAAGGAAGAAUGGGAGGUCUAACUAUCACACCAUUCUUUGUCCAACAGAAAUAAAGGUCAACAGUUUUGACUAGAAAGAUCCACAGAUGACAGUGAUUAUCUAGUCUACCCUGCAGGGGUGCUGGACAUCUAGAGCUACAAGGGUAUAUAGGUUUAUAAUGUAGAGAGCCUUCCUGAGAAUGAGGUGAAUUUACAGGGAUGCAGAGCUAGAAACAGAGGGAGGGACAGAGCCUUUUGUGUCAUAUUGGACUCCUAGAUCUAGCUAUACCUGAAGCCGGAAUCUCUUUGGACUACCUGAUUAUUUAAACUAAUAAAUUACCUCUUCUGUCUAAGCAAAUUUGAGUUGUAACAAAAGGAGUCCCGAAUAAUGUAUGUGUGUGCUCUGCGGUGAUAGUAAAGAAACAUUAGCUUAUGCACAUACUAACUGGGAGCCCUCUUUUAAAAGCUCUGGGCCCAGAUUUCUCAUUUCAUAGUAGAAAUAGUUAGAUUAGGGCAGUAGUUUCUCAGAAGAGUUAUACAGAGGUGAGACACCACAGUGACCUCAUUGGGAAAUGAGGGAGAGGCACAGAAGGGACCCUAGCAUCUCUUUCAACUAAACCAGGAAUAAAGGAAUUAUACAUAGAGUUAGAUUUGAAAAAAUUUUCCUUUGCUUAAAAAAAAGCUAUGUGAUCUCUAGUUCCCCAAAUUCCAAAGUUCUUCGUGGCUUUCUGAGAGGCCAUGCAACCUAAGGCAUUGCGUUACAGCACAUCAGACUGCCUGGAGUCUGAAUCCAGCUCUACCCCUUACUAAUGGUGGGGCCUUGAACAAGUUUCUCUGUUGCUUGGUUUCUUCCUCAGUAAAGCAGGAGUAAUAGUAGUACCUACUUCCAAGAGUUGUUAUGAGGGGGAAUUGACAAUAUUUGUUAAACCCUUCCAACAAUGCCUGGUACCUCGUACAUGCUCAAUAACUGUUCGCAUUGAUGAUGAUAAUGGUGAUGAUGAUGGUGGUGAUGGUGAUAAGCCUGGAAGAUCUCAGUGAAUCUUGGGAAUUCCCCCAAGGAGUGAGCUGAAAAAAGAGCAGAGACCCAAAUCAGGUCACCUGCUUAUUCCCUGUAAUGAUGUCAAUAGGUUAAGGGACUGAAAGCUCUGGUGUCUAUUCUUUGUUUUCUAACUAUAAUCAUGCUGUCUGGUCACAGCUAACCCAAAUGAUAAUUUUGUAUGUGCGUAAGUAAAAUCUUUCCUGAUUAUAUUAAUAAUGUAUAUGCAGUCAUGAAAAUUUGAAAAAUUAAUAGAAAGAGAAAAUAUUAAAGCAUUUGUAAUUCUACUACUGAAAGGUAAACUCUAUUAACAUUUUAAUCAUUGCAUAUUUCAAUUUGGAGUAUUUUCUUCCAGGUUAUCUUUUAGAGCAUUUACAAAGAACAUAUAAAUACAUACAAGAAACUUUAUAUACGUGUGUGUGUACAUGUGUGUAUAGUUUUAUGUCCUUCUUUUCUCAGAUAAGGUUAUGAGUAAUUUUCCAUGUCAUUAAAUAUUCUUUGAAAACAACAUAUGACUUCUUAAUAAUUUACCAUAUGGCUUCACCAUAAUUUACUUAAUAACUUACUUAUAAUUGGACCUUUCAAAAGUUUUUAGUUUGGGUCUAGUAUAAAUAAUGCUGUGAUAAACAUCCUUGGGUAUUUGUCUUGAGACAUAUUUGAUUAAGAUGUUAUUCCUAAAGGUGGAAUUUCUGAGUAUAAGCCUAUAUUUAUAAGGCUUCUGACACAUACUGUCAAAUAGUCUUCCAGGAAGCUUACAUCAAUUUAUUAUUAUUUUGAUUACAAUAUAUUACAUGGGUCUUUCAUGCCAUGUUUUGUGAAGGACCAACAUCCCAUCACUUAAAUAGUGUGGUCAAAGGGAUUCUCAUUAUCACACUAAUUCUGACUUCACUCUAGUCCUUGAACAAUUAAUGCUUUCUUUUUGAGAUCAGUAGCCUGUGGUUCAUUAAACAUGAACAUUUGAAUUUAAGUGUGAAGGACAAUAUGAAAAUAUUUCUUACGCGUCUUUCAUUCAAGCCGUGGAAACUUCAAGUAGGAGAAUGUU